UCCUGUCCAAGAAGGUCAGCUAGAUCUGCAAUGCUACGUCCUUCUGGUACCUAAAAGAGCUUGUGUUUUUGUUCUUUGCGUUUGUGCUAGUGGAGAUGUGAUGGUAUGAAGAUAAAGCUGGAAUGUUUCAUUUGACCAACUGUUGGACUAUGAGCAGGCGGAAUCAAACCAUCACAUCUGAAUCUGGUUUCUUCUGGCCCAUGCUUGGAAAGGUUUCUACUGUAACAAUCCAGAGGUCUGUGCUCCACUCUAAUGAGAAGCCUGAUCCAAGGUCUGCCAAACCUAGGAAACACCUACUACACACCAAAAACUCGAUUCCUUGGGUCUAAAAGCUGUGCAUGGAAAGAUAGAGUGUUUGUACUGAGGGCAGCUACUCCCUUUUGCAGGAUGGAAAUAACCCUUGAGCAGCAAGAACAACAUGUACUGAAGAUUUACUGGCAUGUGUGAAAACUCUCAGAGACUCCUUUUCCUUACAAUUACAGUGUCUGCUGUUGCCUUACGUUACUCUGGAUAUUUUCAUCAUCUACCUGUAGGGAAGAUGCUGAUUCUUCCUAAUACCAUGUCUUUACCUUCUGCUGUGUUGUCCAUUCUUAAAACAAUAUUCUUGCACCUCCUGGUGCAAGGAACGAGAUCCUGUGGUUUUAAAUUCCCAGUCUAUGUUUACUGGUAAGUGAUAGUUACCAAGUAACUUGGGGACCUCCUUUUUCUCUGCCAUUCCCCAAAAGAGGGUUAAGAAAGAAUAAAAAGAAGAUUCAUGGAUUUGUUCACAGUCAGUGCAGGGCUGGUUAGUCAGUCCUCACAAGCCUUGUAUUUUUAGCUCCUUUGGCUGUUUAGUUAACUUGUAAUUUGCUGUGUCGCAGGAAUGACAUCACACAGGAGCAUUUUUAGUAGCUGUUGAAAUUAAGUGUCUUAACAGAAAUAAACCCACAAAGAGAGUUUAGCUUAUGGUGCACUGGCUGCUUAGCCUCCUGGGAGGGCAGCUGAGUGAAACUUCAGUGAAGCUCCAGGGACUGACAACAUCAUUCAUCCUGCACAGGAUAAAUCUAAGGUGCAGCUAAGCUCCCUUGGAGUAAACUAGCUUAAACUAGCAAGUUAAAAAAUCACUGCAACUUUCAAGGCCUAAAUGGGAGAUACAUGAAGAAUGUCAGUCUACUGGGAUCUGAGAGAAAGAGGCUCACAACUGGUUGGUGCAAUGUAUGUCUGCGAGCAGGAGCAACCAGAAAGUAAAGCUUAGCCACGUUUCUUUAGGAGAAUAAACCAUAGGGACAGUUUUAUGCACAGGAGACUGGCUAAAAACAGAUGUCAGAUUGUGAGCAGAGGGAAUAGUUCUGCAUUUGGAUGGGCAUGGAAUACAUGAAAUGUACAAUCAAUAGGCUUGCAUAACACCCUUUUAUUCUCAUUAAUUUAUUUUUCUAAUAGACAAAAUCCCCUGAUGUUAAGUAACUGGCUGUCUUAAUGGGUUAAAAAUACUGUGCCUGACCAGGAUCAUACAUAAAGCAAUCCAAGCUUUGCUUUUGGUAAAAUCUAUGAGAUUUCUUCUCUAAUUGAUAAACAUAAACCAUUUCAAUUUUACUUUGGUCAUAACAUUGAAGAUGAUCUUUGUGAUCACAGUGCUUAAGUUCUGAGUAUGGAGGAACAGAAAUUUCAGCUAGAUGCCCAAGGACUUAACAACUUAAUUCCCAUUACAGUUAAUUAAAUAAAACGAUAAUAACUAUAAUUAAAACCCAAGGAUUUAUCCUAUGAAGUAAUUUAAAGGGACUGAUGGGUGGAAGGCACUAUACCAUUCUAAUCAAAUUACCACUGACUCAUUAUGAGUGAAGGUUAUAUAACCAGAAAUGUGGUUGCAAGCAGAUGCAGAAUAAAUACCGCUCAAUAUUAAAUAUGUGCAAAAUAUUGAAGGAACAAGUCUCUUCUCAAAGCAAAAAGCUAUUAUAUAGGGAAGCAUAUUCUCCCAAGUUUUAAUGUACUUACCACACAGUUGAAGUUUGGAAUAGUUGCAUAUUUGUAAGAGUAAGGGUACAGCAGCAUCUGUGCAUAAGCGUGGAAGGACAAAUAGGCUUUUAUUUGUUUCCGAUGUUUGCGGAGAAAAUGAGCAACAGCCUUUACUUCAGGCUCAGACUCGGGAAAGGGACCACAGUAGGUGUCAUCGCAUGGGUGAAAUGAAGCACCUUCAUCUAGAGAUUGAAAGAGAAAGUUGAUGGUGAAUGGUUACAGAGAAUUUCCCAAGGGUCAGCUUCUGGCUCACCCUGUGUGGGCCCCUGUGCACAAGUGUGAAAAGCAAUAUACAGAUUCCUUUCUUGUGAUUGAUAGGCAUGAGCCAGUGGGACCUCAGUACAGCAAAUCUGCUUAUUCAUCUAGGACACAUACCAAGUUGCCAAUUGGCCAGCUACAUGCAGCUCUUCCCAGAGGACAUAUUUUUAACCCAACAGAAAAAAAGAGAGCCUGACUUCAUUGUAUUUUCUUCUCUGGCUUUCCAUAUAAGUGGCAUAUUUUAUGGUAGCAUUCCAGCAUUAAAACUAUUGAAGGGUCUCAGGGGGUCUAUUUGAAAUCAGAGAGGUAUACCUCUUUCACUAGUCACUGCCAAGACAAAUCUAGUCUUUAAGAGCAUUUUAAUGUACUAGCUAUUACAGUGGUGGUUACAAUGGUAGGUAGAUAACCACAAAAGGCAUAAACUAGGAGAGCGGUUUAAAACAUGAUAAUAGUUCCUGACUGCUGCCUAGUUUUACUUUUGCAAAUCUCAUGCAAAAAAAAAUAAAAAUGACAAGACGAUGGAUUGAUUGCUCAGUUAGCUAAAAUAGGAAUAAUUUCAGUCUGUACAGGGCUUAAUUUUCCUUCAAGUUUGGGGCUGGGGUUCAGUUGUGAGGCUGUCUUUCACUACAUCAACCUGCUCACAUGGCAGUAAGCUACAGAAGUGUAGCCUGCCUGUAAUAUCUCAUGAGGUACUGAAAGUUGAAACUCAGAAAAGGAGAUGUGGCAGUGGCUGCUUUAUCAUUCAGCAGUUCUGGAUGUAAGCCACCACCUCAUUUACAGCUUAGGGCCUGAGCCUAAAAGAACAAUAUCUAUGCAAAUCUACUCCACUCUUUUAUCCACUGUGAUUUUACAAUGCCACAUGUUUUACACUGACCAGCAUAAUAAUAAUAGUUUGUCUGUGACAUUCCCUGGUGUUAUCAGGGACUUACAAAAGCAGUGUUUUAUUAGCUUUCCUUUGUAUAGUAAGUACUGCCAUCUUCAAAUAAUAAGAGCAGUGUGUGAGAAGGCAUAACAUGAACUAAACCAGGUUUUUGCAAUCAAUGUAAUGCCAAAAAUUUCAAAACUGGAAGAUUUUAAUGCUGCACCUUCAUUUGUAAUAAGAAAAUUGAGGCUACCAUUCAAUGGCCACAGGUGGGGAUUUCAAAAGGUAUUAGUGCUUAGACUGCAGUAGAUAUGGAAGGGUUAUAUAGAGGGCAGAUGGUCUUUUCCCUACAGAACAGAUGGCCACCAAGGCAUCCAGAUCCCAAGAGCACUCUGCCUUGAUGUCUUGUCAGAUAUUAUAGCUAAAGAAGAGCUAUUUAACAGACCCUCUGGAGCCUUUGCAUUUUUUAAUGGAUGCUUCAUCUCCUGUAACAGUGUUGUACCCUGAUUCAUGAAAAUGGACAUCACUGUUAAUAAACAGCAGAAUCCUACAA